GCAGGUUUCUGUAUGCAAUCACCAAGCAGAAAAGAUAUCCGGAUGUUCUAUUAAGGGGUAAGCCAGCUACCAUACUGUGAAAACACUCAAGCAGCAUCACUGAAGGACCUGCAUGGAGAGAAAUUGAGGUCUCCACUCAACUAGCAAGUACCAUAUUCCCAGCCAUGCAUAUGAGUUACAUUGGAAGUGAAUCAGCAGCUCCCUUCCAGCCUUCAGAUGACUAUAGCAGCAGUUGACAUUAAACAACAAUCUCACAAGACACACCCAGCUGUCACAUAUAUGAGAUGGAGGCAAUAAUACCAAUCCUACCUCCUAUCAGGGUGAGUGAAUGGCUUAAGUGAGAGGGCAGAUGAUAAACUUCUGGGAGCAGCUCUGAUACAGAAGAGAAAGCAUGGAUCUAAGUAAUGGUACUCUUCCUAAAUUUGAGGUCUGAUUCCACUUUUUACAAGAGGUAUGAAAAUAAGUAUAUUACAGCAUCUACGAGUCGAUAAAUUUAUUAAUCUAAACACAGGUUGUUGACUCACAAGUUGAGUCAAAUAAGAUGAUGUGAUUUAUUAUGUAAAUAUAAAUUAUUGGCCUUAUCAUCAACACAACACUUUAUUCUAAUAUCUUAAAGAAAACAUGUUGAUCUAUUUUUCUACCACUACCAUCCUGUUUCUGUUACUAUAGCCUUGCAGUAUAAUUUCAGGUCAGGUAAUAUGAUGGCUCUAUGUUUUUUUAUUUUUCC
rnacentral:lncRNA from 10 species